UGACUGGCUAGUAUCAGUACAAAACAGAGUGCACAGAAGUUGUAUAAAUUGAAACCUUUAAGUCUUUGGACCUUUCACAUACAUUUGGAACUGUUUAAAAUGCUUGAAAAUGGAAUGUAGAACUAUAUGGUAGUAAUCAACAGAAUAUGGAUUGGCAUUUUUGGAAAAAAUUCCAUGAAUUGUAAAACAACAUCUGAAUGCUACAGUAAAAGAACUUCGACAGGGCACAAAAACAACAACUGGGGUCAUACGCGCCCAAGUCCAAACUACAAAACACAAAGACAGAGGAGUUAAAAACGACUAUACGUCAAUCCCAACUGAUGUAAGAGAAGAUAGCUAAAAAACAGGGGCAUGGAGAAAGGGCUACAAAAGACACCAUACAGAAACAGAGGCCCAAAGGAAAAAAAUAGCCUUCACCAUAUUGCUUUGAUGGACAAAAUGUAAA